rnacentral:lncRNA from 1 species
AGGAAGACACUGAUUUUUCUUUUUAUUAUCUAUUUGAUUUUGCAGACGGUCAUAUUUUAUUUCCAAGUAGAUGGACACAUGCUUCAUUUUCAAUGAAAAAAGUAGGUGUGAAAAGCAAGCCCUAUGAUUUUGAGAAAAGGUGCAGGGAAGUUAGUGGGAAAGCAGAAUAGCCAUUGGUCCCCACACUGUAUCAAGGGCCUAUUCGAGCUGCAACUCAGCAACCCUGGGCCAGAUCCAGUCUAAAGACUGUCUGGGUAUGGCUUGUAAGCUAAGAAUGGUUUUUAUAUUAUUUCAUAAUGGUCAACCCUAAAAUAAAAAAAGCAGGAGUUCUCUCAUGGCUCAGUGGGUUAAGGAUCUGGCAUUGUCACUGCUGCGGCUCUGGUUAAGGCCGUGGUGCAGGUUUGAUCCCUAGCCCAAGAAUUUUGCAUUCCAAGCUGCAGCCUAAAUUAAAAAAAAAAAAGGGAGUUCUCUUGAUGGCCUAUGAUUCUGUAUUAUCUAUUUAGCUCUUUACAGAAUAUGUUUAUAGAUCCUUGCUCUGUAUCAUCUUGCCAGACCUGUGAAAGUCCUGAGAAUUAUACCUUUGUAAGCUAACAAGUUAUCCUGCCAUAGAGGUAUACCUGUUUUAUUGCCUUUUGCUUUACUGCACUUCACAGAUAUUGUGGGGGUUUUUUGUUUUGUUUUGUUUUUUUACAAAUUGAAGGUUUGUGGCAACCCUGUGUGGGUGCAAGUCUAUUGGCCUAUUGGUGCCAUUUUUUUUUAACCAGCAUUUGCUAACUUCAUGUCUGUGUCACAUUGUGGUAAUUCUCACAACAUUUCAAAUGUUUUCAUUGUUAUCAUAUUUGUUAUGGGAAUCUGUGAUCAGUGACCUUCCACGGUAUUCUUAUAACUGCUCUGGAGUACCAUGAACCAUGCUCAUGUGAGAUGGCAAACUUAACUCCUACGUGCUGUGUUCUGAGUGCUCCAGGAAACAAGCAUUCCCUGGCUCUCUCCCUCUCCUCGGGCCUCCCUAUUCCCUGAAAUAUUGAAAUUAGGCCAAUUAGCAACGCUGAGAUGAACUAUAAGUAUUCAAGUGAAAGAAAGAGUCACAUGUCUCUCACUUAAAAUCAGAAGCUAGAAAUUAUUAAGCUUAGUGAGGAAGGCAUGUGGAACUCCAAUACAGGCCAAAAGCGAGGCCUCUUGUGCCAAUUAGCUCAAUGGUGAAGAAAAGGAAAAGUUUUUGAAGGAAAUCAAAAGUGCUACUUCAGUGAGCAUGCAAAGGUGAACAGCGAAACAGCCUCACUGCUGAGAUGAAGACAGCUUUAGCGGUGUGGAUAGAAGAUCAGGCCAACCACACAACAUUGCCUUAAACCAAAGCCUGAUCCAGAACAAAACCCUAAGGCUUUUCAAUUCCAUGAAGGCGGAGAGGCGGAGGAAGCUGCAUAAGAAAAGUCUGAAGCUAGUACAGGGUGGUUCAGGAGGUUUAAGUUCAGAAGCCAACUCCAGAACAUCAAAGUGCAAGGUGAAGCAGCAGGUGCUGAUGUAGAAGCUGCAGCAAGUUAUCCAGAAGAUCUAGCUCAGAUAAAUGAUGAAGGUGGCUUGUAAACAACAGAUUUUUUUGUAGAUGAAACGGUCUUAUACUGGAAGAAGAUGUCAUCUGGGACUUUUAGAGCUAGAGAGGGCGAGUCAGUGCCUAGGCUCAAAGCGUCAAAGGACAGGCUGACUUAAGGGCAUUAAGCAUUCUAAAAAAUCCUAGGGCCUUUAAGAAUUAUGCUAAAUCAGAGUUCCCAUUGUGGCUCAGUGGUUAACGAAUCCGACUAGGAACCAUGAGGUUGUGGGUUUGAUCCCUGGCCUCGCUCAGUGGGUUAAGGAUCCGGUGUUGCCGUGAGCUGUGGCGGAGGUCGAAGACGAGGUUCGGAUCUGGCGUUGCUGUGGCUCUGGCUUAGGCCGGCGGCAACAACACCGAUUGGACCCCUAGCCUG